rnacentral:rRNA from 1 species
UACAGAGGUCUCAAGCGUUGUUCGGAUUUACUGGGCGUAAAGGGCGCGUAGGCGGCACCGCAAGUCGACUGUGAAAUCUCCCGGCUCAACUGGGAGGGUGCGCCGAAUACUGAAUGACUUCGAGUGCGGGAGAGGAGAGUGGAAUUCCUGGUGUAGCGGUGAAAUGCGUAGAUAUCAGGAGGAACACCGGUGGUGUAGACGGCUCUCUGGACCGUAACUGACGCUGAGACACGAAAGCGUGGGUAGCAAACAGG